CCUACGGUGGUGCAGCAGUGGGGAAUAUUGGACAAUGGGCGAAAGCCUGAUCCAGCCAUGCCGCGUGUGUGAAGAAGGCCUUCGGGUUGUAAAGCACUUUCAGUGGGGAAGAAAGCCUUGGGGCUAAUACCCUCGAGGAAGGACAUCACCCACAGAAGAAGCACCGGCUAACUCCGUGCCAGCAGCCGCGGUAAUACGGAGGGUGCGAGCGUUAAUCGGAAUUACUGGGCGUAAAGCGCGCGUAGGCGGUCUGAUAAGCCGGUUGUGAAAGCCCCGGGCUCAACCUGGGAACGGCAUCCGGAACUGGCAGGCUAGAGUGCAGGAGAGGAAGGUAGAAUUCCCGGUGUAGCGGUGAAAUGCGUAGAGAUCGGGAGGAAUACCAGUGGCGAAGGCGGCCUUCUGGACUGACACUGACGCUGAGGUGCGAAAGCGUGGGUAGCAAACAGGAUUAGAUACCCUUGUAGUC
rnacentral:rRNA from 1 species